rnacentral:piRNA from 1 species
UCUCUUGAUGGUACCUCGUAGCCUGUCGUU